AGAGCGGGUCUCUCUAUGUUGCCUAGGCUGGUCUCAAACUCCUGGCUUCAAGCAAUCCUCCCACUUUGGCUCCCCAAAGCGCUGCCAUCACAGGCGUGAGGAACCCAGCCUGGCUGUAACACGGCAUCACACUGUAUGACAAUCUGUAAGCGGCACAGAGAGAGAGAACCGCAGCCUCCAUGGGAACGAGGAAGUGGGAACGGGAUGAGAGUUUGGAAUCGAUCUCCGUGGAAGGUCUGAAUUGCAAGGCGGGUUUCCCUGGGGACAAUCUCAACCAUAAAAAAGUUCUGCUCACAUGA